rnacentral:rRNA from 1 species
UACGAAGGGGGGCUAGCGUUGCUCGGAAUCACUGGGCGUAAAGCGUGCGUAGACGGUUAUUUAAGUCGGGUGUGAAAGCCCCGGGCUCAACCUGGGAAUUGCAUUCGAGACUGAAUAGCUAGGGUACGGUAGAGGGAAGCGGAAUUUCCGGUGUAGCGGUGAAAUGCGUAGAUAUCAGGAAGAACACCCGUGGCGAAAGCGGCUCUCUGGAACGGUACUGACGCUGAGACGCGAAAGCGUGGGGAGCGAACAGG